CUCCCCGCGAGCCGUCCGAUCGGGUUUGAUCGUGCGGCGCUGGAUUCUCUCACGUGCCCGCCUGGAUACUCUCGCUGGCAACACGGGCUUGUUCCAAUCGCGUGGUGUCUCGCGGAUAGCGAAGCAGAGGACUCAGAUCCGGGCGCCACCCAGGCAGCAGCUGACGCGAGAGGCGACGUGACGGCAUCCGGAGCGGCGAAGCGACGGCGACGGGAAGUGGAGGCGCGCACGGCGACAACUGACAGCAUCGACGACGACGCUCCGCCGCACAGAGCCUCAACGAUGGAUGAUGAAGACUCUACUGAUGGAUUAUUCUCAAAACAGUUUUCAACAAGACGCAUACACGUACAAUUGCUGAGAAAAGUCUGAAUAAGGAUAUGAUGGCAGUCUUAAGUGAUUAUUGCUAGGUAGUGGCUAGGCUGCUGCUACCCCGCAUGAGCUGCUCCAUGGGGCAGACAACGACCACUAGUGACGCCCUUGUGUUCCAAGUUCCAACAGCCCCCAGGUGCCGACGAGCGUGCCGAAUCAAGCUGCCGCAAACCCAGCAUUGACGCCCUCUGCAUCGCAACUCCGGCGGUCGCUGCAUCGCAGCUCCGGCGGCCUCGUGGCCGCUGCACUGCAGGUCCGGCGGCGUCGACGACAGCUGCAUCGCAGCUCCGACGGCCGUUGCAUCGUAGCUCCGGCAGCGUCGUGGCCUCUGCACUGCAGGUCAGACGGCGUUGACGGCCGCUGCAUCGCAGCUCAGCAGUGCAGCUCCGACGGCCGCUGCAUCGCAGCUCCGGCGACGUCAUGGCCGCUGCAUUGCAGUUCCGACGGCGUCGACGGCUGCUGCAUCGCAGCUCCGGUGCCCGCUGCAUCACAGCUCCGGCGGCGUCGAUGGCCGCUGCAUCGCAGCUCCGGCGGCGUCGACGCUCGUUGUAUCACAACUCCGACAGCCGUUGCAUCGCAGCUCCGGUGGUGUCCCAGCCGCUACUGCCUAGCUGGAAGAUGUGCUUGGAGCGCUACCAUGGGCGAUGCAUGAUGGUGCCUGACUCUUGUGUUGCGCGAGAGGGAAAAUGCUGACUGGAAGUGCAAUCCGUGAGACACCAAGCGAACGGUUAUGAUGUGUAUGAUCGGACGAUUAGCAAGGCGGCUGAUAAGUUGUUGUUAUCAUCCGGCUUACGCCUAGCAUCUGCCAAUUCCAAAUGCCUCCAAAGCCUGGUAUCAAGCUAGAGAUUAUCAGCUAGAGGAACAAGCAGUGACCCAACAUUUCACCACCCCAUUCUGUUGGUUUUGCUGAUUAUUCUCACUACUCUCGUUCUUUGAUCUCUUUGAUCGGUAUCCUCUCUUAGUCGAUGUGUCCCUUUUAUAGAAGAAGUGGCCCAAAAUCGUUACUAUC